rnacentral:rRNA from 1 species
GGUGGGGACCUUCGGGCCUGCCGCUUGAGGAGGAGUUUAUAUCCUAUCAGCUUGUUGGCGAGGUAAUGGCUCACCAAGGCUGUAACGGGUAGCCGGGUUGAGAGAUCGACCGGUCACAUUGGGACUGAGACACGGCCCAAACUCCUACGGGAGGCUGCAGUGGAGAAUAAUUCUCAAUGGGCGAAAGCCUGAACAUGCGACGCCGCGUGGAGGAUGAAGGCCUUCGGGUUGUAAACUCCUGUCACAAGUUAUGAAACCUUACGGAUUAAUACCCCGUAAGCUGACAAAAGCUUGGGAGGAAGCCACGGCUAACUUCGUGCCAGCAGCCGCGGUAAUACGAAGGUGGCAAGCGUUGUUCGGAAUCACCGGGCAUAAAGCGCACGUAGGCGGAAAUCCAAGUCGGGUGUGAAAGCCCCGGGCUCAACCCGGGAACUGCGCUCGAUACUGGGUUUCUUGAGAAAUACAGGGGCGAGUGGAACUCUUGGUGGAGCGGUGAAAUGCGUAGAGAUCAAGAGGAACACCGGUGGCGAAGGCGACUCGCUGGGUAUUUUCUGACGCUGAGGUGCGAAAGCUAGGGUAGCAAACGGGAUUAGAUACCCCGGUAGUCCUAGCCGUAAACGAUGGAUACUAAGUGGGAGAAACAAUCCGAUGUUUUUCCCGCUGAAGCAAAUGUACUAAGUAUCCCGCCUGGGGAGUACGGUCGCAAGAUUAAAACUCAAAGGAAUUGACGGGGGCUCGCACAAGCGGUGGAGCAUGCUGUUUAAUUCGAACCAACGCGAAGAACCUUACCCGGACUUGACAUGUAGGUAGUACCAAACCGAAAGGGGCGGGACCCUCGGGAGCCUACACAGGUGUUGCAUGGCUGUCGUCAGCUCGUGUCGUGAGAUGUUAGGUUAAGUCCUGUAACGAGCGAAACCCCUAUCGUUAGUUGCCAGCGGUUCGGCCGGGGACUCUAACGAGACUGCCGCGUAAAAGUUGGAGGAAGGUGGGGAUGACGUCAAGUCAUCAUGGCCUUUAUGUCCGGGGCUACAAGCGUGCUACAAUGGUCGGUACAACGGGUUGCAAGACCGAGAGGUGGAGCCAAUCCCUAAAAACCGGUCCCAGUUCGGAUAGAGGGCUGCAAUUCGCCCUCUUGAAGUUGGAAUCGCUAGUAAUCGCAGAUCAGCCAUGCUGCGGUGAAUAUGUUCCCGAGCCUUGUACACACCGCCCGUCAAGCCACGAAAGUCGGCGGUACCCGAAGUCGUUAACCCAACCCUCGGGAGGGAGACGCCUACGGUAAAGCCGGUGAUUGGGACUAAGUCGUAACAAGGUA